UACAGAGGUCUCAAGCGUUGUUCGGAUUCAUUGGGCGUAAAGGGUGCGUAGGCGGCGCGGUAAGUCGGUAUGUGAAAUCUCGGAGCUUAACUCCGAAACUGCAUUCGAUACUGCCGUGCUUGAGGACUGGAGAGGAGACUGGAAUUUACGGUGUAGCGGUGAAAUGCGUAGAUAUCGUAAGGAAGACCAGUGGCGAAGGCGGGUCUCUGGACAGUUCCUGACGCUGAGGCACGAAGGCCAGGGGGCAACGGAUAAG
rnacentral:rRNA from 1 species